UACGUAGGGUGCGAGCGUUGUCCGGAAUUAUUGGGCGUAAAGGGCUUGUAGGCGGUUUGUCGCGUCUGCCGUGAAAAUCCGGGGCUCAACCCCGGACUUGCGGUGGGUACGGGCAGACUAGAGUGUGGUAGGGGAGACUGGAAUUCCUGGUGUAGCGGUGAAAUGCGCAGAUAUCAGGAGGAACACCGGUGGCGAAGGCGGGUCUCUGGGCCGUAACUGACGCUGAGGAGCGAAAGCGUGGGGAGCGAACAGG
rnacentral:rRNA from 1 species